rnacentral:rRNA from 1 species
GAUGAACGCUGGCGGCGUGCCUAAUACAUGCAAGUCGAGCGAACGGACGAGAAGCUUGCUUCUCUGAUGUUAGCGGCGGACGGGUGAGUAACACGUGGAUAACCUACCUAUAAGACUGGGAUAACUUCGGGAAACCGGAGCUAAUACCGGAUAAUAUUAUGAACCGCAUGGUUCAAAAGUGAAAGACGGUCUUGCUGUCACUUAUAGAUGGAUCCGCGCUGCAUUAGCUAGUUGGUAAGGUAACGGCUUACCAAGGCAACGAUGCAUAGCCGACCUGAGAGGGUGAUCGGCCACACUGGAACUGAGACACGGUCCAGACUCCUACGGGAGGCAGCAGUAGGGAAUCUUCCGCAAUGGGCGAAAGCCUGACGGAGCAACGCCGCGUGAGUGAUGAAGGUCUUCGGAUCGUAAAACUCUGUUAUUAGGGAAGAACAUAUGUGUAAGUAACUGUGCACAUCUUGACGAUACCUAAUCAGAAAGCCACGGCUAACUACGUG